CGCUCCGCCGCUCUGUGGGAGGUGAAAGGAGGAGGAAGCAGCAGCGGCGUGUCCGCCCCGCCCCAGGCGGCGGCAGGGGCGGGGCUCUCCGCAGCGCGCAGCCGGCCGCCGCCAGCACGGCGGGCAUAAGGAGUGAAACUGGUUCCCAGUUUCUCCAGCAGUAUGUCUGUUUCCUCCAGUUACUCGGCAGCACGUGUGCACACUUCUAACAACUCUGCGCUUCCAUGUUUGAGUUCUGUCCUCAUUGGGUUCAGUUUUUACAGAACCUAGUGUGUGCCCUCAAUAUGGGUAUGUCCCAGGAGAGUACAAGAACUGCACAUAAUACUAUGGUUUGUGUGGCUGGUACACAUCUCAUUUGUGUGCAAUCAGGGCAGUACCAGCAAGGCUGCACAAGAGCUGAGAAGGGCUCAUGGAUGCCACAGAAGACUACUCUGAUAAAGAUGCAUGCUUGUGAUAAUGGAGAAACUGGGUAGACAGAAAAAGCUGGCAGCAUCUUCCUCAGUUCAUGUGGAACAUACUGGAACAAAGAUAUCCAAGAACACUGAAGACUAACAGGCAAGGAUAUGGGCUUCCUGAAGGGACUUAUGCCUUUGCUGAUGCUCCUCUUCUAAUUCCUGGAUCUCCUGAGUCAGCCUCUGUCGCUCCUGACUGAACUGGGCUUGUAGCUGUUGUAAAGAGCUCUGUGACUGGGAAAGCUGCAUCUCCAGAUUCUGCUUCAGUAAGGAGAUCUAAUCCACAAGAGAACAGCAAAUAUCUGUUAGUCAUUAAUACUAAAAUCAACUGUAAAGAAAACAUUCGAAAGAAGAAAACACUUGAAAUUUUAAAGCCAUUGUUAGCUGAAAGACAGACAAGCAAUGUCAUCCAUGUAUGAAUUUGCUGUUAAUAUUAUAUGUCAGAGAUAUAAUAACUACAUUUUAAUGAUUUUGUAAGGAUUAUCACAUUGGUUAGUUUAUACUACAGCACUACCUGUAACACAAUUUUUCAUGGCCAGAUUCUCAAAAUUUAUUUCUAGGUUUUAUAUGAAAGAUCAAUAAAAAUGACACUAUCGAGGUCUGAAAUCAACCACUUGAUUAUUAAACUAUUCUUCAGGGGAACAUCCAUUCUCCAAGGAUAAUCUUGUGCUUGGAUAGGUGAGGACAGCCUGCGACAUCUACAUUGAUGGAUUUUUGUAUCCUUUAUCA